GAUAUACAAAUGAAAAAUGUUAAGCAUCAAGGAGUGGAGGCUGUUGCUUACUUCCUCAAAAUAUGUUCCAUCACAAGAUAAGAUUAGAGAUGAUAAAAUAUCGAGUAUGAUAUAAUGUUGAGCCCUGAUAAUCUUUUGAACAGACAGAAUCAGUUAAUUUCAUGCAAAGGAAAUAAUCAUGGACACCUAAACCAGAGAGAAAACCACCACAUGCAUAUGGAAGUAAAGCUAUCUUCAUCAAAUAAGGUCCACUCUGCAUCACAUAAAGCUAACAUAUCAAAGAGUUAUAAGACACCAAACAACAAAACCAAUAGAGGUAUGUUCUUUUAUAUGGAAAAGCAAAUAAAUAAUCAUAACAACAAUUCUUUUGAUGAUCCUGCUAAUGCUUUACAAGACCAUCUCAAGAGGGUCCAGGAAAUAUUACAUAGAGAUAAACAGAGGAAAAAAGAGUAAGAAGGUUAAAUGCUUUAAGCACCAAUUAUGUAGAUUUGUUCAGUUCCCAUCCCCCACCUGAAACCUUGAACACAGACCACAAAAUAAAAAUAAAAAAGUGAAUAAUAUCUACUUUUGAAUUGCUUAACAAGCGGCACCACCUACAAGUAAAUAAUAGGCUAACUAGCUAAGAAUAAGUAGCCUUUUUCUCACUGUAUUUGCAACACAUCCAGUAAGGGUUCUCUUCUUAAAUGUGAAAGGAAAAAAAUAAAACCACAACUGUCUAUGCAUGUAUACAGUCACAAGCCAAAUUGCUAUAUCUCCUUGUUGAAAGUUAAAAAAUUUUAAAAGAUUUUUCGGAAUCAAUCUUAAAUCAGUGUUUUUAUCCACAACAAAAAUGAGCCAACUUUAUUAUUAUGAGCCGUUUGACCCUCGCACAAAAUUAUAAUUUGGCAUUGUCUCCUAACAAGUUCCAAAUAAGUUCUAUUAUCA
rnacentral:misc_RNA from 1 species